rnacentral:hammerhead_ribozyme from 1 species
GUUGUCCCAAAUAGGACGAAACGCGCGUCCUGAAU